CUCUUAAAAGUAUCGAAAAAAUCUAUUUAGUACAAGAUGGAAAAUACGAAUCAUCGUAAUCGCCUUUUAGAGGGCAUAUUGCAACUGAUGCCGAAAGUAGGAGACUCGCCCGCCUGCCAACUCAAAAAAUCGCGUUCAUUGAUGAUGUAGUGGUAGAUCGGAAGUUCGGGUGGUAAGGUAUAUUAUGUAUACAGUGAUUUAGUUGAAUUCACGAAUGCGACGAUGAAUAAUCGAUAUAGAAUACGGUUCUAUAAGUGGAACUCGUGGUUAAACACGGUAGGUAUGCAUUUUUUACUGGAAAACGAAAUAAUUUACAAUAUUUAUAUAUUAUAUCUAAAAUACAUGUGAGUUGUGAAGAUAAUGUGAUGCAGAUUCAUGCUGAUUAUUUGUAUGCUAAUUAUUGGCCGAACAAUUUCUUUGGUAUGGAGUCGAGGAGUGAAAUUUUUAAAAUUAUCUCGAUUUAC